ACUAGCUUUCAUGACAUCUUUUUUAUGCACAGGACUUAUGCAAAAUCCCACUGACAUGUAUGCUUACUUCCGGUGUCUUCAAAAAUUCCAGCAAAGCUUAGCUACAAAUCAAAUAAUCUAGAGGAGACUUAAACAUGACUAUAAGUGGUCUAGAGUUAAAGAAAUAACAAAAUCUAAGAAAGUAAUAGAAUUAUUCACAUAUGACUGAUUGAAGUAACAAAAUAGACUGAACAAACAUUUAACUUUGAGUAAUUGGAUUCCCGACUUGCUGGAACAAUCUCAAAAGAAUCCAUAACUAUUGUUGAAAUGCAUGCUCUACUGCAAGGACUUUAUGCCAAGUCUUAGCACCUAAGGUCAUUACAGAUUGAAGGAGACUUCUUAGAUACAGAUGCUUACAACACCAAAUGAGCUUUACUCACAUCUUAUUAAUGAUUGCAAGUGCUUGUACUUAACUGUAUAAUCCACCAGUGGCUGACAAGUUAGUGUGCAUAGGUACCCAAUCCCCAUAACCUACUCCACUGGAAGUUUUUUUAGCAUGAUCCAGAAUGUACACUUGAGGCACCCGGGCUGAUAAAUCGGAAAGUACUUACCUGCAUAGUUUAUUGAAACUGUCAAGAAAUAGUCAGUGGGGUGCCUACCAUUUUGAGCCUGUAAGUAUUGUUGGUGUUACAACUCCUACUAUUAUCGCAACCUUUUGAGCCUGUCCUUUGGAAUUUGGAGCACAUGCCCUUGGAUGUAAUAGUUUGUCGUUAAUAUAUAUCUUCUUUAAUUAAUACCCAAAAAAAAACUAUAGUAAUAUCAAAAUUACCUCAUUUAACACCCUGUGAAGCUUGUCCCUUGCCUCAACAACAUGGUUGUUGUCAUUCCUAUCAACCACAAAGAUGAGACGAUGUGUGUUUUGAAAUUAGUGUCUCCAUGGGAAUGGAGGUCUAAUAUGCAAGUGCACCACAAAAGAUAAAUAGAAGAAACAUACUUUUAGCUCUUCCAGAAUCAGACUGUAAUAUACUUAUAAUUAUGCCUUUAACGAAAGCAAUUGUACAUUAAACCACUACCAGGUAACAAAUCCUAACUUGAAAAUCACCAAUUAACCACAGCUGGUAGACAUCUUAGGUUUUGAUAUUUUAUACCAAA
rnacentral:lncRNA from 1 species